ACGAAACAGGACAAUGGAAAUCUAGGCUAGGAUGGUUCUACUUUACAGAAGGCAGUCCUUUGUUUGAAGAAGUUCUCUGUUUGAAGGGCUGUCUAGUCCAGGCUGGUUUAGUGAUGAAGACCCAUAAGAAGGUGAACAGACAGCAGAGGCCUUGAAGGUGCCCGUCUGUGGUUAAACACCUGGACAACAGAGUGAGCAGACACACAGGCCCCUUAGGCCUAGUCUUCCCUAUUAUGCCCUAAUCAUUUGGAGAGAAAAAGAUGAGUGUUGCCCACCGGAGCCUGCACCAGUUAACAGGACCCUUGUGGGUGUCUUGAACAUACACACAUCGAAAAGGAGAUGAAAAAGUUACAAGCUUGUUAAGAUUCAGUCUUUCAGGGGAAGACAUCAUGAGGCAUCUUCUGCCAUGAGCCUUUUUCAGAUCACAAUCAUGGACAGCCAAGAAGCUACUGGAGAAAUGAUUACUACAAAGAAAAACACCACUCUUGGCUACCUCAAAUGGUAAGGUCCACAUCUGGACUGCUCUGCUCAGAGGUGGGACCAACUUAGCUGCCAUAUCCCUAAUGUGAGUGGGAGAGGAGAGAUGAAAGAGGCCAGAAGGAGGUGACAACCCACAUAACUGGAUAUCAGACACACUCUUCGGAGCUCAACCAGCAGAUCCAUGUGGGAAAGAUGAACUCGUGAAACUACCCUAUGCGCAUGGC